GAUGAACGCUGGCGGCGUGCCUAAUACAUGCAAGUCGAGCGAAUGGAUUAAGAGCUUGCUCUUAUGAAGUUAGCGGCGGACGGGUGAGUAACACGUGGGUAACCUGCCCAUAAGACUGGGAUAACUCCGGGAAACCGAGGCUAAUACCGGAUAACAUUUUGAACCGCAUGGUUCGAAAUUGAAAGGCGGCUUCGGCUGUCACUUAUGGAUGGACCCGCGUCGCAUUAGCUCGUUGGUGAGGUAACGGCUCACCAAGGCAACGAUGCGUAGCCGACGUGAGAGGGUGAUCGGCCACGCUGGGACUGAGACACGGCCCAGACUCCUACGGGAGGCAGCAGUAGGGAAUCGUCCGCAAUGGACGAAAGUCUGACGGAGCAACGCCGCGUGAGUGAUGAAGGCUUUCGGGUCGUAAAACUCUGUUGUUAGGGAAGAACAAGUGCUAGUUGAAUAAGCUGGCACCUUGACGGUACCUAACCAGAAAGCCACGGCUAACUACGUGCCAGCCGCCGCGGUAA
rnacentral:rRNA from 1 species